ensembl:snRNA U6 U6 spliceosomal RNA
ACAGUAAAAACAAAAAAGUUUAUACUAAAAUUGGAACAAUACAAAGAAGAUUAGCAUGGCCCCUGUGCAAAAAACAACCUGUUUCUUCUAAUUUU